CCAAAUGCUGUUGCUCACAGCUCACUUCGCACUUCGCAGUAUUCAGUAUUCAGUAUUCACAAUAUUCCGCUACUCUUCCAAACGCUCACUCUGCAACUCCAUUGAUGAACAACAAAACUUGCAUCUUGCAUCUCUGAAUUCCGAAUAAGAAAUGGUAGUACUCACUCGUCUGAAAUCCGCUUUACGUCUUCUUCCUCGUUCUUCCGUGACCUACGCAACCUCUGCCUCUUCCACCUCCAACCUCUUUACGGCGAAGAGGAAUCAAAUCGCCGCCGUUUAUCUGCCGCAGGAUUUGUACCGUCGGAUAUUCACUGUGACCGAACCAACUCUCCCGGUUGUUACGAUUCUCGAGCAGUGGGUUCAGGAUGGCCGAACUCUUACCUACGAUAAACUGCUAUUCCUUAUCAAGCAACUUAGGUCACGCAAAAGAUAUAAAAACGCCCUCGAGGUGUCAUUUUGGAUGUCUGACAAAGGAUAUUCUGAACCUGGAUCUGCAGAAUUUAGUUUAAGACUGGACUUGAUUGCAAAGGCUAAGGGAAUAGAAGAAGCUGAAUCCUAUUUUGAUAGCAUUCCGAAAUACUCAAGAGCUGCAGAAUGUUACAGCUCUCUUCUUAAUUGCUAUGCUCAAGUUAGGGAUGUGGAUAAAGCUGAAAGGAUCAUGCUGCAGAUGAAACAUUUGGGUUUUGCAAGGUCUACCUUGGCAAGAAAUUCUUUGCUUAACCUCUAUUAUCAAACACAAAACUAUGACAAAGUGGAAAAUUUGUUGCUUGAAAUGAAAGAAGAGGAUAUUAAAUUCGAUAGAUUUACAUUAGCUACCUUGAUUAAUACAUAUGCGGCCCAAUCUGAUAUAGAAGGAAUCGACAAAGUUCUUGCACAGUUAGAAGAUGAUCCAUCGUAUUCCCAACAUGUAGAUUGGUGGAGUGUUUAUGCUGUGGCAGCCAAUUGGUAUGGCAAACUCGGGCUUCAUGAUAAAGCUUUUAACGCUUUAAAGAAAUCAGAGAAGCGCCUGAGUUAUACAAUCUGGAAUGAGGCCUUUCCUUACCUUAUGACUCAAUAUGCAGCAAUAGGGAAGAGAGAAGAAGUGAUGAGGUUGUGGAAUAUUUACAUGAUGGAUGGGAAAUUACUCAAAAGAGACUAUUAUUCAGCUGUAAUAAGUUCGUUUCUCAAGUUGGAUGACAUUGAACUUGCUAAGAGUAUCUUUGAGGAGUGGGAAUCUAGAAACCGGUAUUUCAUAAAUUUCUUUAUUCCAAACAAGAUGAUAGCAGCUUACAGCAGAAAGGGCAAUAUGGAGGAAGCUGAAGCCAUUGUUAAUAGGACAAUCAUGAAGGGAGGAAAGCCAAAUUCAUGGACUUGGUCAUGGCUCUUGCUUGGAUAUAUUCCACAAAGAAAUUUUCCGAGGGCUGUUCAAUGUAUGAAAGAGGCAGUUUCUAUCUGUGAAGUGGGGUGUAAGUGGAGGCCAUUACCAGAAUCCUUAGCUGCCAUUUUUCAGUACUUGAAAUUUAAUGGAGAUAUGGAGGAGGCAGAGGGUUUGAUAAGGUUACUCAGUAGCAAGAAUGUUAUCUCCCUUGAUGUUCAUAACAAGCUGAUGAGUUGGAUUAAGGAUGUGGAGUCAAAUGUACCUGCAAUUGCUGUGCUGGGAGGCGAUUCACAUAAACAAACAGGCAUUUCUUCUCCUUUUCCUUUUGAUUCCAGAUUCAAAGAAGGGAUAGGAAAAUCUAGCAGAUUCUCUUUCAAUCACCGUCGUCGUUCUUUCUUUCGCUACCUCCUCGGUUACUCGUUCUCUCCUACACCGUGCUUGCUCUACUAGGGUUUUCGCCCCUCUUUCACUUACUGUUGCUUGCUCUAUGUUCCUCUUCAUCCCCGGUCUUGCUCUUUCUCUAAUCCUCGCCACCGCAACACGGUUCCGUCUUUCACUCACUGUUGCUUGCUGUAUGUUCCUCUUCAUCCGCGGUCUUGCUCUUUCUCUGAUCCUCGCCACCGCAACACGGUUCCUCAGCCGCACCGCAACACUCGGGUCCACCACUUCCCUGGUUUUUGUCGCCCCUCUGUCCCUGUUCUUCACCAGCGACUCUGAUCUUUGUCCUUCUUCCUUCACCUCUGCCUUUGCGACCUACUCCUUUAAGUGGGAAGUUUUCAAACAACAAAUGAAAGACAUGCUUUAUCACAGUGAUCAAAAGGGCAUCGAGUUGAAAAAGCCUGGUGCUUCUCUUUAUACGUUUCCCAUGCCAGAUUGCAUGUGUAAACAGGAAGAAGCAAGAAGUAGAAAUUGUAGCUCUAGGAAAUGUACGAUGUUUUGAGUAUAAAUAUAUGACCUUUAGGAACACAAUCAAUACCUGUAAUUUAUUUUUGUAUCAUUCAGUUCGAUUUUCUUUUUUCUUUUUAAAUAUGGUAGAAUUAUUUUAAGUAAAGUGUAUAAAAAAGGCACGAAUUAAGUGUUAAUUGUUCUUUUCAUUUAAGCUCAACAAAUGGCACUUAAGUGUACAUUAAAUAAUUGAAAACCUUCAAAGACACG